rnacentral:pre_miRNA from 1 species
UUUUUUUAAUUUUCUUAUGAAUUCCCAUUUUACGAAGAAAUUUCGCGUUAUCUCUAGAUUACGCGAAAUUUCUUCGUAAAAUGGGAUUUCAUAAGAAAAUUAAAAA